rnacentral:tRNA from 1 species
UUUAGAUUAGUUUAAUUAAAAUUUUUGAUUUUGGUUCAUUAGAUUUGGUCUAAAU